rnacentral:SRP_RNA from 1 species
GCUGGGCGUCGUGGCGGGCCCCUGUAAUCCCAGCUACUCGGGAGGCUGAGGCAGGAGAAUCGCUUAAACCCGGGAGGUGGAGUUGCAGUGAGCCGAGAGCUGCCACUGCACUCCAGCCUGGGCAACAGAGCGAGACUCUGUCUCGA